rnacentral:rRNA from 1 species
UCGAUCUCAAAUCAGGUAGGACUACCCGCUGAACUUAAGCAUAUCAAUAAGCGGAGGAAAAGAAACUAACAAGGAUUCCCCUAGUAACUGCGAGUGAAGCGGGAAGAGCUCAAAUUUAAAAUCUGGCGUGCCUCUGGUCGUCCGAGUUGUAGUCUAGAGAAGUGUUUUUCCGUGUUGGACCGUGUAUAAGUCUCUUGGA